UUUGUGGUCAUUCCUUUUCUGCCAGCAUUGACACCUGGAAUUCUGAAGAACCAAUGAGUGGAUCCUUUUAAAAACUUUGUCUCGUGCCCAAUCCCCGUCAGAAGCAGCAGCAUUAUAAACAACAUUGUCUUCCCCGUGCGUCAGAAAGGACGUGGGUUUAUGUGACUAUGUUCAUGCCUGGUGUGAAGGUCAGAAGAAGGGAGUAGAUCCCGUGGAACUAGGUUAUGGAUGCUUAUGGCCGACCUGGAGUGCUGGGGACCUCUGCAAGAAUAGCAAGUGCUCUUAACUGCUGAGGCCUCACUCCAGCCCUAAAAGCCAAUGUUUAAACCGGAUUUAAUAGCUCACACCUACACUCCCAACACUUCAAGGCACUGAAGACGGAGGAUUAGUUUGAGUUCAAGGCUAGCCAGGGCAAUCUGGACUAUAGAAUAAGACCUUCUCACAAAAGAAAAUUAAUGGAAAUAAAACUCAUCCUGGUCUAAAAAUCAGGUUCCAGGCCAGCUGGAUCUUCACUGCAAAACCCUAUCUCAAAAAAUAAAAAAGAAUAAAUAAAUAAAUAGGUUUGAUUUGCUUAUUAGAAAA